GGGAUGUAUGCUCCAAGGUUGUGCCCACUCGGCACGACCCAGGUUCCAUGCUACAGGCCUCUGCUUGUCCAGACCUGAGGGUCAGAUUCAGAUGGUGCAAAUGUUUAAGACCUGGGUCUUCAACGAGAUGAAUUAUCAGCUAUUUCAUAGCUGCAGUGUUGGAUAUGCCGAGAUGAUAAAAGCAACAGCAAUCAGAAUCAACAGUUGAAACGACGUGGCAGACACUGUGAAUGCUAUGAACUGCUGUGCUGAGCAGCAGGAUUCCUGUGUCCUGGCGCAAUGCCCAUGGGGAUUCAUGCUUUCAGAGGGUCACGCCUCAGGAACACGUAGAAGGGCAAGCAUUUCAUCCGGCAGGGCACUGAUUUAAUCUGCACGCAUGUUUGGCUGUAAAACUAGCUCCUCCCCCUUACCAUUUUUGAGUCGCUGCCGGACUCAAAUUCCACAGAUUCUGGAAGGUGUCCAGGAACUCGUUGAUUUGUCAAACUUAUGGCUACACACAGCUGGAAUGGAGACGGACUCCACUGAAGAGACUCAUACAGGACAGGAGGGAAUUUUAAGAGGAUAACCCUGAUAUUCCCUGGCCAUUGAAAUCGACUACUUGUGUCAGAAUACAAAGCUACAUGAGAUGUGGUCCUUGUCCUCAAUAAGCACGCGAGUCAGGGAGUUGGAGGGGAGAUUAUGAGUAAGGAAGAAAUAUAGAGGUGAAGAGGGGAGGUGUCCAAGCUGGAGGGUUCUCAAGGGAGAGGGAAGAGUCUGGAGGCUUACGGAGAAGAUAGCUCUUGGGGGUUUUGCCCUUUGAGCCUCUCACAGAGGUCCUGGGCCAAGGAGGACUUUGCAUUUUCCAUCAGGGUCAGCCUGGUGUCACCCAAACACCUAGAGGAGUGAGGAGACGCCAGAAAUCCCAGGUUGUGUGACAGCAUCUGGGUAGGCACCGCAAGGGACUAAAGAUGCUACUUGCAACCAAGGAUGAUCCCCAAGACAAAAAAUAUGCAUUAUAAGAAUUAUAUUUUGGUCCUCAAACUUCUGGUUCUAUAAAUGCUGUUCUCACUGUCUGGGAAGUAAGAUUUGGACCCGGCCAGUGGAAAUUCAGUUUCUUCAUUUGUCACUCGAUGCCUGUGAAAACUUUGCCAAAAGCCUGACUUCUUGGAGCUUUGGUUUUCUCAUCUAUCAAGUGAGAAUAGUAAUAAUAAUAACAAUAAUGCCUACCUCACUGAUCUCUUAGGGUUGUUAUGAGACUUAAAGGGUGCUGUGCAAAGUCUGAAACGGUGCCAUAACUCUUUACAGUCAUUAUUAUUAGUAUUGGCAAAAAUGUCCAUUUCUGCACCCCCUUCCAUUUGAGUGGUGAGCGUUUUCCUUGCCCUGCUAUUAAGAGGUCACUCGUGUCAAUGCUGAGAGGCCCAUGGAAGCCUGACAGCUUGAUGUUGCAUCUGUGAGAAGUGAUUCAUUGGAGCAAUCUCCCCUUAAGUUCAGAUGAAUGCAUUAAUUUUUAGAAGCAAAUCUGUUUGAAUUGUGGCUUGAUGUCUAAUGCUUGGAGGAUUAUAUAAUUGAAUUGUAGAUGCUAAAUUGCAUCUUCUGAAAUACUGAGAAAUAGUCCCAUUCUCAUAUAGGCUUAACAUCCAUCUAGAAUAUUCCAAUUGCUUGUUACUAGGAGAUAUGUGUGUUACAUGGCAAGCAUGUGCUCAUGUGGACUCACCCACCUGUGAGGAUGGCAUAGGUGAGGAAAGAAGAAGAUGAGAAAGGUUUUAUAGGGUAAACUCAAUUGUAAAAACUAUUACAUGAUGGUGGACAAUUUCAGCUUCAAUUCACCUGAUGAUGACUCUGGCUUCAAUAAUUAAUGACCCUGUUAUUAGAUUUCUGAGGCAGACAGCAUCUCAUUGCAAGGGACCAUUUUGAUGAAUGAAUAAUCAUAAUAAAUACAAACCACUGGCCAGAGGGUCAACUUCUACUGUCUGCUUAGCUGGAACAUGAAUGAACCCAGCCAAGAUUGCAACAUUCUCAUGGCCAUUCUUUUGGAAUUCCAAGUAGGAGAAGAACCUGGAGGGUCAUUAUGCUGUGUCCUUUGUCUUCAGGCAAGAUUAUCUCCAAACCAACCCAAUGGGGUAGAACCCACAUUGACACUCUCCUGGCAACAGGCUCAAGGCUAUUGGGAAAUCUUCCGACUUGUGUCAAAUAUAACAUUUGUCUUUCAUUUAGUUGAGACCAAUCUACAUAAGUCCAGGUUAAAGGGAAGCUUUUCCCGCCCUCCAGAAGACACAGGCAGUGGCUCAGGUGACCUGCCAGCAUGGAACCUGUCUCUCUCAACAAGAUUGAAAACAUCAAACCAAACCUGAAGCACUGAGAGGUUGGGUAACCAGCUCUGGUCACUGAGUUGGUGAGGGAUGGAUUCAGAAGAGGUCUCCAAUUGUGACACCGCAGAGGACCUGCUCUUGGCCACCACACUCUACCAGCUCUGCAAGAAGGGGGAAGAAAAUAGGGCUGUUUUGAGGAGAUGUGGCUGAGAAAACAGAAAAAGAGAAUUACAGGCCUGAAAUCCCAGCACUCUGGGAGGCUGAGGCCCCUGGCGCUGGUUCUCUCUGGAGGUUGAGUUUCCGUGGGGAGAGAAGAGUGCCCAGCGUGACCACCGUUGGCUGACUUCCCAUGCAUUAUUCCUUGUUUCCCCCGCUGGGGCCCAGCCCACCAGCCCCACAGUGCAUGAAGCCACUUAUCACCAAGGUUCCCAGAGAGGACGGGCUGGCCCAAGUCUGCAUUGUCACCUGCUCUGGGGAAAACAAAGCCCUCUCCCCCGCCCUCCCCACAGCAUGCUGGGCACAGGGCCAGCCCGUUCUAUGUUUUCAGUAAAUUUUCAAAACUGCUGGUUUUGGUGGCAGCUUUUGCAGUGAUUAUCUCAUUAGGGGCUUGGCCCUGAAACACCUUAUUUAUUGUGGAUUGAAAAAAGUUCACCUUUUCAAGCAAAAAAAAAAAAAAAAAAAAAAAACAGAAGAAAUAAAUAAAAGAACCAGACUGUAGUUUCCCUGGAAAAUUUUCGCUUGUGGGAAAAUACCUCCCUGGCCCGUAGAGAGACGCCAUCACCAACAGUGUGGAGUUAUCAGAUGGGACUGGUCCAGCUUUGUGGGGCCGGGGCACACAGUGCCAAUGUCCAGGUAGUUUCCAAACCGUGUUUUGUUUCCUCUGUCCUCUUUAUAAACCCACGGAUUGAACCUCAUGGGCCCACAAGUUCCUGAUUGCUUCGUAUAUAUUGUACAGAUUUUUUCAGGAAAAUAAAAUAGAUCUUGCUCUACCCUGACAGAGCAGGGCCGAUAUUCUCUAGAAGAGAGGAGAACUCUAGAAUGGAUGGCAGAACUCUGAGUGUGUAACCCAAACAGCAUGCUGAAAUAGUAAAACUCUGCCGCAGGGGCAGAUGGCUGCUGGGAGAAUAUUUAUAGCAGGGAUCUAGAAAUAACCGUAUGGGAAAAGCCUUCUGAGGAGGAACGGAACAAGAGUCUUCGGGGUGGCACUUGGAGACACUCUUGCUCUUGCCUGAGGUCCUGGAGGGCUGCAGGCCGACCGCUGCACGGGAGAGAAUAUACGUGGUAUUCACAGGGUACACAGAAGUCGUAAUACUUCAUGUAGAUCUGUGCCACACAGAUGUGAGAGCUAGGACUUGGAAACAGGAAGAGAAGUGGGAGGAUGAUUAGGAGCCUAAUUGGUAAAUGUAGUACAGUCAAGGCAGACCCCGUAAAAGGACCGGGCACUGCAGAGCUGCAGGACAAGAGCCUGGGGACACGACAGUCAACCAGCCCAUGGGCAUCAUGGAAACAGCACUUUGCAGGCACCUGAGUGAAGCACAGGAAGGAAAUGCAGACACAGGUGAAGGAGCACGGGGUUGGGUUAGAGCCAGGCAGCAUCCCCCCAGCCGCUCCAUGCUAAAGCCUUCAUCAAUUGCCCAGAGAGUGGGGGUUCUCAGUUAACGCUGGAACCAUACAGCAAUGAGGCCUGGGUACUACUUGUAAUUUUCUGUUUAUUUCUAACUUUAUGAACUGCGUCAAGUAUACUUCCUAGCAUGGGUUCAGUACUUUGCAACAAAUCUUUCUGCCGUGGAUAUAAAUUCAUGAGCUUCAGGUUUCAUUAAAGAGAAGUACACAAAUGAAGUACCCAGACUAACAUUUGAAAAUUUAAUUUUAUGUUUGUUUUUAUUUUUUAAGGGACAGAGUUUCACUAUGCUCAGGCUGGACUCAAACUCCUGGGCACAAGUGAUCCUCCUGCCUCAGCCUCCUGAGUAGCCGGGACCAUAGGCACACACCACCACGCCCAGCUCAAACUAACAUUUGACUGCCUUGUGAAAUAUUACCUAGUCACUAUCCCAGGUCCCUGACAGCAUAGACCAGCAAAACAUUAGAAUGACACCAGACCUAUUAUAACUGCAAGCCAUGAACAGGAUUUCAAGAAAAGAGAUGGAAGAAUGUUCAGAUUCCUAAAAAUCUUCUUAAAAGAGAACUCCUAGCUUUCCACAAAAUUCACUUAAUUUCUUAAGUGAUUUUUGUCUUUUAAAAGCACAAUAAAGAGCAAUCAGAUGUUG